UUUCUUCAUAGGGUUUUGAGAAGAUUGAGGCAACCGUUACUGAAGUCAGUGUUGUAUUGGUGAAUCGGGAUUUUAAUGAAGUGGGUGUGAUUACUCUUGACUAUUUUGUGAAAUCGAAGUUACAUCUGUGAUUGAAGAAUUAAAAGGGUGUCUAAAGGAUUGAGUAUGCGGAGUGAAUGGAAUUUAUUGGGUUAAUCUAACAAGAUAGUCAGUGGAUACAAGGUCGUGAGUAUAAAGUGGUAUUUGAGAUUAACAGAUUGGGUUGUUCGGGGUUCUCUGUAACGUCUAGAGACCUAUCGACUGGGACAAAAAGGAUUUUGGCGAGCAGUCGAAGGACAUCCGUAUAGAUUUACGGUAUGUCCUUGGAGUCGUUUAUAUUCCAACAGUCAAAAACCGAUAGACUGCUUGAAUAUUAGCGAAUCUCCAUACUAUCUUCUACAGCCAGACGCCCAGUGCGUUCUUGAGCAGGAAAGCACGUAAUACGAUAGCGUUCUCAUUAUUGUUAGAUCUCUACUCCCAUGCGCAAGUUGAAAUUGGUUAUAAUCCGAAUAUAAAUCACCCAUUGAAUAAAUUGUCCUUCUCGCAAACGCUUCAGCAAACUUAUCUAUUAAAGGUCGUAUACCUAUAUUUUUUUAUAGUUAUUACAUUUAUUGGCUGCAUAUCUUGAAUAAAACGUAACAAUUCAUUUUUCUUAGGCCCCGUAAAUCCACGACUAGAAUAUAGAACAUAAAAAGGCUCCAAAAU
rnacentral:lncRNA from 1 species